rnacentral:rRNA from 1 species
AUACGUAGGGGGCUAGCGUUAUCCGGAAUUACUGGGCGUAAAGGGUGCGUAGGUGGUUUCUUAAGUCAGAAGUGAAAGGCUACGGCUCAACCGUAGUAAGCUUUUGAAACUAAGAGACUUGAGUGCAGGAGAGGAGAGUAGAAUUCCUAGUGUAGCGGUGAAAUGCGUAGAUAUUAGGAGGAAUACCAGUUGCGAAGGCGGCUCUCUGGACUGUAACUGACACUGAGGCACGAAAGCGUGGGGAGCAAACAGGAUUUGAUACCCUGGUAGUCCACGCCGUAAACGAUGAGUACUAGCUGUCGGGGGUUACCCCCCUCGGUGGCGCAGCUAACGCAUUAAGUACUCCGCCUGGGAAGUACGCUCGCAAGAGUGAAACUCAAAUGAAUUGACGGGG